rnacentral:rRNA from 1 species
CAGCAGCCACGGGAAAACGAGGGGUGCAAGCGUUACUCGGAAUUACUGGGCGUAAAGCGUGCGUAGGUGGUGGUUUAAGUCCGUUGUGAAAGCCCUGGGCUCAACCUGGGAAUUGCAGUGGAUACUGGAUCACUAGAGUGUGGUAGAGGAUAGUGGAAUUUCCGGUGUAGCAGUGAAAUGCGUAGAGAUCGGAAGGAACAUCUGUGGCGAAGGCGGCCAUCUGGGACAACACUGACGCUGAGGCACGAAAGCGUGGGGAGCAAUCAGGAUUAGAUACCCGCGUAGUCCCUGUCUCUUAUAA